rnacentral:rRNA from 1 species
GAUGAACGCUGACCGAAUGCUUAACACAUGCAAGUCGACUUGAACUUCGGUUUGGGUGGCGGACGGGUGAGUAACGCGUAAAGAACUUGCCUCACAGCUAGGGACAACAUUUGGAAACGAAUGCUAAUACCUGAUAUUAUGAUUUUAGGGCAUCCUAGAAUUAUGAAAGCUAUAUGCGCUGUGAGAGAGCUUUGCGUCCCAUUAGCUAGUUGGAGAGGUAACGGCUCACCAAGGCGAUGAUGGGUAGCCGGCCUGAGAGGGUGAACGGCCACAAGGGGACUGAGACACGGCCCUUACUCCUACGGGAGGCAGGAGUGGGGAAUAUUGGACAAUGGACCAAGAGUCUGAUCCAGCAAUUCUGUGUGCACGAUGAAGUUUUUCGGAAUGUAAAGUGCUUUCAGUUGGGAAGAAAAAAAUGACGGUACCAACAGAAGAAGUGACGGCUAAAUACGUG